ACUCAAAGGAAUAGACGGGGACCCGCACAAGCAGUGGAGUAUGUGGUUUAAUUCGAAGCAACGCGAAGAACCUUACCAGGUCUUGACAUCCCUCUGACCGUCCUAGAGAUAGGGCUUUCCUUCGGGACAGAGGAGACAGGUGGUGCAUGGUUGUCGUCAGCUCGUGUCGUGAGAUGUUGGGUUAAGUCCCGCAACGAGCGCAACCCUUGAACUUAGUUGCCAGCAGGUAAGGCUGGGCACUCUAGGUUGACUGCCGGUGACAAACCGGAGGAAGGCGGGGAUGACGUCAAAUCAUCAUGCCCCUUAUGACCUGGGCUACACACGUACUAAAAUGGCCGGUACAACGGGCUGCGAAAUCGCGAGAUGGAGCGAAUCCCACCAAAGCCGGUCUCAGUUCGGAUUGCAGGCUGCAACUCGCCUGCAUGAAGUCGGAAUUGCUAGUAAUCGCGGAUCAGCAUGCCGCGGUGAAUACGUUCCCGGGUCUUGCACACACCGCCCGU
rnacentral:rRNA from 1 species